GAUGAACGCUAGCGGCAGGCCUAACACAUGCAAGUCGAGGGGCAGCGGAAAUAAUAGCUUGCUAUUAUUAGAUGGCGACCAGCGCACGGGUGCGUAACGCGUAUGCAACCUACCUUAAACAGGGGAAUAAUCUGGAGAAAUUCGGUCUAAUACCCCAUAACAUCAGAGAAGGCAUCUUCUUUGGUUAAAAACUCCGGUGGUUUAAGAUGGGCAUGCGUUGUAUUAGCUAGUUGGCGAGGUAACGGCUCACCAAGGCUACGAUACAGUAGGGGGACUGAGACGGUUAACCCCCACACUGGUACUGAGACACGGACCAGACUCCUACGGGAGCAGCAGUGAGGAAUAUUGGUCAAUGGACNCAAGUCUGAACCAGCCAUGCCGCGUGCAGGAAGACGGCUCUAUGAGUUGUAAACUGUCUUUUA
rnacentral:rRNA from 1 species